GCAAAGUCCCAAGACAUAAUCUAUUCUACUACAAACGAACAAAAUUGCUAUAAAACUUCUAUCUUCUACUGUUUACAAAUUCCAUUUCCCUACGGAAGUUAAGAGGAGAGGAAGCUUUCUCAUAAGCAUUUCUUUUAUACCAUUCAUACCACAUCAGGGAUCAUGGCUCUCUAAGUUAAACGAAAAGAGUUGGCCUCAGCAGAAUCCCCUGAAUAUGAAUCUGCAACAUAAUCAAUCUUUCCUUCCCAGCUUGGAUCAGAUGCAAGAGCAUGCCCAAAACAAUAC
rnacentral:lncRNA from 1 species